UGAGGAAUAUUGGUCAAUGGUCGCUAGACUGAACCAGCCAAGUAGCGUGCGGGAUGAAGGCCCUCCGGGUCGUAAACCGCUUUUAGACGGGGAUAAAAGGGCGUACGUGUACGCCGUAUUGCAUGUACCGUCAGAAAAAGGACCGGCUAAUUCCGUGCCAGCAGCCGCGGUAAUACGGAAGGUCCGGGCGUUAUCCGGAUUUAUUGGGUUUAAAGGGAGCGUAGGCGGACUUUCAAGUCAGUGGUAAAAUCGUGUGGCUCAACCAUACCUCGCCAUUGAAACUGGAAGUCUGGAGUGCACACAGGGGUGCCGGAAUUCAUGGUGUAGCGGUGAAAUGCUUAGAUAUCAUGAAGAACUCCGAUCGCGAAGGCAAGUGCCCGGGGUGCAACUGACGCUGAAGCACGAAGGCGUGGGUAUCGAACAGGAUUAGAUACC
rnacentral:rRNA from 1 species